rnacentral:lncRNA from 1 species
CAGUUUAGUUGUAAAAUUGAGUUAUAAUUUCGCAUUGUUAUAAUAAAAAAAUAAAUUCCCAUCGUUAUAAUUUUGUAAUUAAACCAUAAUGUUAAUACGUUAUCUUGAAAUAAAAACUACGUUAUGUAAUUACGAGAUAACAAUUUUUAUAACUAACAGAAAUCAGACAAAAUAAGCUAUGCUCAACUUGUCAUGAUGAUGUUCUUGAUUUUGUGAGCUUCAUACACGAAAACCAUAUAUACCUCGAUUCGCUUUCUCUUUAAAAUUCUCGCCUUCCACAACAGAGAUAAACAUAUAACUUCUGAACCUUAGUAUUAGAGAGGGGCACGAUAUCCUGAAGUUCUAACAUAUCAGGAUCGUGAUCCAAGUUUAAGAACCUUAAUGAAUGUAUCACUCUCACCAUUCGUAUCUCUAAUGCCAUAAGACAAUGGAAACUUCUUCUUCCAACAUAAUUUAUCUUUUCCAAGCACCACUGCUCCACAAAAACAGUCCUUGAGACAAGUUGCUUUACACCUUUCUUCAUCAUAAUUUGAAUACCUCUUGUAAUCCCCUGACGGCCAAUUUGUCAUCCUCAAAGUCACAAACUCGUAGAGAUUUGCAUCCUGGUCCGCUGCUGCUGUUUGGUUACUCUCUCGUCCACAAAUUUGCAUCUCAAAAUCAGGUUUACAAUCACCAUACUCGUCAUCUGGAUCCACCAACAAAAACCUCUUGGGGCAUUCACAUCUUGGCCUAUUAUUAUCUCCUAAAAUGCAUAUAUUAUUAAACCCACAAGCUAGAUUCCCAAGCUCAUUAGCAUCAAGAUACGGUCCAAACCUCUUUGCACAUAUAUUCUCUGGUUCAGACCAAGCCAGAGACCAUCCAUUAUCACUAUUAUUAACCCCUUGCCUCUUGGGAUGAUAGUACUGAGAGAAAACCCCGUCGAAAUGUAAAACGGCACGGUGAUAAAAGUCUUUGGACGGUACUGGAUCUUUAUUGUUGACAUAGAAUCUCGUUGUAUUGUCGUUCAUUACUACAUACAUGUAGCCUGUCUCGUUGAAAACCAAUCGAUUCCCGGGAUUAUGAGGGUCUUUUGUGUUACUUGAGUAGUACGAAAAGUAUACAUCUGUUUCUGCUAGCGUCUCGCUGUUGAGAGUAAGAAGCUGGAGAUCUCCAUCGUCACCUAAACGUAGCCUGAAUCUUCCUUUCUGGAAGCUAGUCUCUUUGAGGCGAGAUGAGAGAUUCCCUCUAACUUCAAUACUCUGCAUCAUCAUCACCAUACACCCGACCAUAUAUAUGUGAUGUGUACUUACAAUUAGACGGAUGUAACUUUUUGUUAAUUUUUUAAAUAAAAAACUUGACAUGCAUUUUAAGUGAGUAGCAAAUCAUUUUUUCGUAAUUGUAUGUAUAUCAUAUGAACUUAAAGUAUGUGUAGUAUCAAUAUAAAUAUUUUAUAUAAAAUUAGAGAUAUAAACUAGAAAUAUAAGGUUAAUUAUACAUAUAUUCGGUUAUCUUCGGAUAUCCAUUCGGGUUCGGGUAUUAUCCGUUCGGGUUCGGGUAUCCAAUCUCUCCUUAUUCAAUACCCGUUCGGGUAUUUUGCAACUUCGGUUCGGAUUUCGGUUCGGAUUUUUCGGAUCGGGUUCGGGUGCCACUUCGGAUAUCGGGUAAAGUGCCCACCCCUAGCUGCAAAUCGCAUUUGCAAACCGCAAUUGCCAACAACAAAUAACAACAAAUAAACGAAUAGAAGUAUAGAACCAUAGUUGUUAAACUCCCAGCCCAUAAUAUAUCAAGUUUGGAAGAAAACAUAACUUUUUAUUGAAAAAUUGAUUAGUCUUAGAGAAACUAGGGUGAUAACCUCUUUUUAAAAACAUGGGUAAAAUUUUCCUAAAAACUCAUAUUUUCAUGAUUAGGUUAUAUUAUUCUCAAAUCUAGAACUAUUUUAUUUUAGAUGAGUUGUUUUUUUUCUUUAUUCUUAUAAUAAUCUAUUCCGUUUUUCAUAUUUUUCUUUUUAUGCAUGAAUUUUUGUCGUAUUCUUUUCUCACUACCAUUGUCAUGAUUUAUCCAGGGCCGUGUCUAAUUUUUUUGGGCUUAGAAGCCAAAAAAUAUUUUUUUGGCCCUUAGGUAUAAUAUUGGUAAAAAUAUUAUGUAGUAAGAAUCAAAUGUGUCAACAAAUUUAAUAAAACCUAACCAACCAAUAAUUUUUCAAAUUGACCCUUAAAGUAUAUUUAACAAAAUUGACCCUGAAGCACAUGUUUGAUGGGCUCAUACUCAAACACAGCCUUAGUUUUAUCCUAUUCCACAAAAUAAUUACUAAAAUUAAAAAUGAAUCUUACUUUUUAAAUAGAAUCAACAAAAUAUGGUUUUCACUACAAAACACUUUGUUUUAAGACACGUCAAUUAUGGUUUUAUAUAAAUCUAAAAAGUUCAAAAUGGUUUGUUAGAACAAUCUAAGAGUAAUCUCAUAACAUACUAUUUACUCUUUUGAUAGAGCCAAAACAUACCACCAUUGGUAUCUCAAUUAUUUUGAUUUUUGAUCUGAUUUUAGAUAUUAUGCUUUCAAGCCACUCCACUUGCUUAGGUGUGAAGUCAUCCUUCUCUUUUUGAAUAGUAAUUAAACAUGAAGCAUAUUUAAUUUUAUACCCAUUUUAGGGAAAUUGCACUGUAUGACAUCCAAAAAAAUUAUAAUUAACUCAGUGACCAAUUGCCCUAUUAUACCAAUAUACUUUAUGUCUAUUAUGUAAUAAUACAUUUUUACCCUUGUAUACAACCGGUGUAACCUGCAGAAAGAAAAUAAAUAUAAAUUAUUUUUUGUUUAUUCUAGAGAAGUAAAUGUGUCUUUUCUUUUGACACAAAUUGUAAAUGAUAAUAAUUGUGAAAGCUCAAUGCUUUCUUCUCCAUUUUGUCCGCCACGGAAAUCACCGAGUAUAUCACCGGCGACGUUUGUGGAGUACCAGCCCGAUUGUGACGCCUUUGUUGGAGAUGGGAGACAAAGGAUUCACGGCUUCUGAACUCGGACGUAACAUCUCUGUGAGUAAUUUCUCGCUUCGAGAUUCAACACUUCGUGAAGACCAUACUUAAACACUUGUAAAUUUUGAUUUUGGAGCUGGUAGUUGUACUGCUUUAGUUGAUCGGAGAAGAUAAACAUUUUUUCUAACAUUAUGUUCUAUUCUAUUUAUAUGCAUAUGGAAUAGAAAUAUAAACUAAUAUGUAUUAUAAGUGUUCUGUUCAUGUUAUAUAAUGUGAAUUAGUCUGUUACUAUUUUUUUUUACCAUGUACCUUUUUAUUUGAGCAUUCAUAAAGAAUGUAUUAUUUUGUUCCCCAAUUUGUACUAACCAUUCUAUUUGGAUUUGAGGUUUAUACUUGGGUUUAGUGAUUAAAAUUUAGAGUUUAGUAUUUGGAAGUGGGGGUUGAGGUUUGGGUUUAAUGACUCUAUUAUGUAUCCAUUUGCCGAUUAAUAAAUAAUAUACUAUUUCGUUCUCGAUAUGUACUAUACUAUAUAUUUUGUUUCAUUCUAUUUAGGUUUGGGAUCUACUUGGAUUUAUGGUUUAAUGAGUAGGAUUUAGGGUUUAGUAUUUGGAAGGUGGUGGUUAAGGUUUGGGUUUAGUGACCCUAUCAUAUAUCGUUCCAUUUGACGAUUAAUAAAAAGUGUUCUAUUUUGUUCACCAUUAUAUAUUAUACUAUGUAUUUUGUUACAUUCUAUUUGGGUUUGGGGUAUAUACUUGGGUUUAUGGUCUAUAAUUGGGUUUAAGGAUUAGUGAUUAUGAUUUAGGGUUUAGUAUUUGGAAAGUGGAGGUUGAGUUUUGGAUUUAGUGAUAACAGUUUAAAGUUUAGCAUUCAAACUUUAGAUUUAGAUUUAGAGUUUAUAUAUGAGUUUAUGGAUUAUAUUUGGUUUUAAGGUUUACUGGUUAGGGUUUAGGGUUUAGUGAUUAUAGUUUAGGAUUUAUUAUUUAGAUGUUUGUGGAUUUGAGAUCAAAUUUAUUAUUUAGGGAUUAUGAUAUAGUUAAAUAUUUUAUACUAUUUUGAUGAUAUGGAAUAUAACAUUCCGAUUUAAUUGUGAAAAGUAAAUGGAAUAUACUAUUUAUUGUAAGAGUAAUUUAUUUUCGUGAACAGAUUUACUGAACGAAGAAACAUAUGAAGUAGUUACGUAAAUGAUGUGGAUGGAUUUGGUGUCUUCAUUUUCAACAGUGUGCAGUAAAUAUUGACCAUACCUUAUUUUCUUCAACGUCAUCUACGUGACUUAUUCACCGGUUACUUGUACCAGAAGAGGGUAUAACCGACUAAACUUGAGCUAAAUGUUAUUGACUUAAUAAUGUCAAAAUCAUUGUCAUAUUUUUAAUUAUGCUUCUAAAAUUGGCUAUUUGGCAAAUUAACCCUUAAUUUUAUAACCACACAAAGUAGUAGUUAGGAUUUGUCUAGGACUCGUGUAAUCUUGCAUUCUUAUAGUUUAUUAUUAGACGACAAUGUCAUUUGUACCAGUUGGAUAAUUUUAUGCUUUCAUGUUCCUCAAAACAUACAUACUUAGAAGAAAAAUAUCACAAUAAGAUACUAAGUCACAUUAUUCAUAGGCAUCAACACGGAUAUAGAUCCAAAUUUAAGGCCCAUUUUGCAUACAUGAAGAAAAUCUUUAUUCGUGCUAUGCACUUUUCACUAAAAAUUAGUUUAAGUUUUUCCAUUAUUCCGGGAUAUCCUAGAUUAAUAAAAAAACACAAUAAAAUACUAUUAUUACGAUCUUUUAGAUUUCAUUUAUUUUUAAUUCUUUUUAGAAUCAUAAAUUUUCAUUUUCAAUCCAAAAUUAUGGAAUUACACUAAAAUCACACAAUCCUACAAUAGUCUCACACAUUUCCAGUUUAGUUGUAAAAUUGAGUUAUAAUUUCGCAUUGUUAUAAUAAAAAAAUAAAUUCCCAUCGUUAUAAUUUUGUAAUUAAACCAUAAUGUUAAUACGUUAUCUUGAAAUAAAAACUACGUUAUGUAAUUACGAGAUAACAAUUUUUAUAACUAACAGAAAUCAGACAAAAUAAGCUAUGCUCAACUUGUCAUGAUGAUGUUCUUGAUUUUGUGAGCUUCAUACACGAAAACCAUAUAUACCUCGAUUCGCUUUCUCUUUAAAAUUCUCGCCUUCCACAACAGAGAUAAACAUAUAACUUCUGAACCUUAGUAUUAGAGAGGGGCACGAUAUCCUGAAGUUCUAACAUAUCAGGAUCGUGAUCCAAGUUUAAGAACCUUAAUGAAUGUAUCACUCUCACCAUUCGUAUCUCUAAUGCCAUAAGACAAUGGAAACUUCUUCUUCCAACAUAAUUUAUCUUUUCCAAGCACCACUGCUCCACAAAAACAGUCCUUGAGACAAGUUGCUUUACACCUUUCUUCAUCAUAAUUUGAAUACCUCUUGUAAUCCCCUGACGGCCAAUUUGUCAUCCUCAAAGUCACAAACUCGUAGAGAUUUGCAUCCUGGUCCGCUGCUGCUGUUUGGUUACUCUCUCGUCCACAAAUUUGCAUCUCAAAAUCAGGUUUACAAUCACCAUACUCGUCAUCUGGAUCCACCAACAAAAACCUCUUGGGGCAUUCACAUCUUGGCCUAUUAUUAUCUCCUAAAAUGCAUAUAUUAUUAAACCCACAAGCUAGAUUCCCAA